CCUACGGGUGGCAGCAGUGGGGGAUAUUGCACAAUGGGGGGAACCCUGAUGCAGCGACGCCGCGUGAGCGAAGAAGUACCUCGGUAUGUAAAGCUCUAUCAGCAGGGAAGAAAAUGACGGUACCUGACUAAGAAGCCCCGGCUAAAUACGUGCCAGCAGCCGCGGUAAUACGUAUGGGGCAAGCGUUAUCCGGAUUUACUGGGUGUAAAGGGAGCGCAGGCGGCCGGCCAAGUCUGAAGUGAAAGCCCGCGGCCCAACUGCGGGACUGCUUUGGAAACUGGCCGGCUAGAGUGCUGGAGAGGUAAGCGGAAUGCCUAGUGUAGCGGUGAAAUGCGUAGAUAUUAGGAGGAACACCAGUGGCGAAGGCGGCUUACUGGACAGUAACUGACGUUGAGGCUCGAAAGCGUGGGGAGCAAACAGGAUUAGAUACCCUUGUAGUC
rnacentral:rRNA from 1 species